rnacentral:rRNA from 1 species
CCUACGGGGGGCAGCAGUAGGGAAUAUUGCUCAAUGGGGGAAACCCUGAAGCAGCAACGCCGCGUGGAGGAUGAAGGUUUUCGGAUUGUAAACUCCUUUUGUUAGAGAAGAAAAUGACGGUAUCUAACGAAUAAGCACCGGCUAACUCCGUGCCAGCAGCCGCGGUAAUACGGAGGGUGCAAGCGUUACUCGGAAUCACUGGGCGUAAAGGGCGCGUAGGCGGGAUAGCAAGUCAGAUGUGAAAUCCUAUGGCUUAACCAUAGAACUGCAUUUGAAACUGUUAUUCUAGAGUAUGGGAGAGGUAGGUGGAAUGCUUGGUGUAGCGGUGAAAUCCGUAGAGAUCAAGAGGAAUACUCAUUGCGAAGGCGACCUGCUAGAACAUAACUGACGCUGAUGCGCGAAAGCGUGGGGAGCAAACAGGAUUAGAUACCCUAGUAGUC